rnacentral:rRNA from 1 species
GACGAACGCUGGCGGCGUGCUUAACACAUGCAAGUCGAGCGAUGAAGUUCCUUCGGGAAUGGAUUAGCGGCGGACGGGUGAGUAACACGUUGGUAACCUGCCUCAUCGAGGGGAAUAGCCUUUCGAAAGGACGAUUAAUACCGCAUAAGAUUGUAGUAUCGCAUGAUACAGCAAUUAAAGGAGUAAUCCGCUAUGGGAGGGACCCGCGGCGAAUUAGCUAGUUGGGGAGGUAACGGCUCACCAAGGCGACGAUGCGUAGCCGACCUGAGAGGGUGAUCGGCCACAUUGGGACUGAGACACGGCCCAGACUCCUACGGGAGGCAGCAGUGGGGAAUAUUGCACAAUGGGGGAAACCCGGAUGCAGCAACGCCGCGUGAGUGAUGACGGUCUUCGGAUUGUAAAACUCUGUCUUCAGGGACGAUAAUGACGGUACCUGAGGAGGAAGCCACGGCUAACUACGUGCCAGCAGCCGCCGUAA